rnacentral:lncRNA from 1 species
AUGCUGGGAAGCUCACCUACAUAGACACAAAAUACGUGGUACAUGUGAAGAGUUAGAGACAGAAGAAGAGCAACAGUAUCUCACCUCAAGCUAUAUUAACAUCUCCACUGAUUCAUUACAAGGUGGCAAGAAGUACUUGGUUUGGGUCCAAGCAGCAAACGCACUAGGCAUGGAAGAGUCAAAACAACUGCAAAUUCACCUGGAUGAUAUAGUCCCCAGGUCACAUCAAAAGCAUUCCAACAUGACACAUGGAAUUCUGGGCUAACAGUUGCUUCCAUCUCUACAGGGCACCUUACUUCUGCAACAGAGGAGACAUUGGACUUUUAUUGGGAAUGAUCGUCUUUGCUGUUAUGUUGUCAAUUCUUUCUUUGAUUGGGAUAUUUAACAGAUCAUUCCGAACUGGAUUAAAAGAAGGAUCUUAUUGUUAAUACCAAAGUGGCUUUAUGAAGAUAUUCCUAAUAUGAAAAACAGCAAUGUUGUGAAAAUGCUACAGAAAAUAGUGAACUUAUGAAUAAUAAUUCCAGUGAGCAGGUCCUAUAUGUUGAUCCCAUGAUUACAGAGAUAAAAGAAAUCUUCAUCCCAGAACACAAGC